GAUGAACGCUGGCAGCAUGCUUAACACAUGCAAGUCAACCUGAACCUCGGUUUGGGUGGCGGACGGGUGAGUAACGCGUAAGGAACUUGCCUCACAGAUAGGGACAACAUUUGGAAACGAAUGCUAAUACCUGAUAUUAUGAUUUUAGGGCAUCGUAGGAUUACGAAAGCUAUCUGCGCUGUGAGAGAGCUUUGCGUCCAAUUAGGUAGUUGGAGAGGUAACGGCGCACGAAGGCGAUGAUGGGUAGCCGGCCUGGGAGGGUGAUAGGCCACAGAGGGACGGGGGAGCGACCAGUACGCAAACGGGAGGAAGGGGUGGAAAAUAUAGGAAACAGGACCGAGAGUCUGAUGAAGCAAUUCUGUGUGUACGAUGAAGUUUUUCGGAAUGUAAAGUGCUUUCAGUUGGGAAGAAAAAAAUGACGGUACCAACAGAAGAAGUGACGGCUAAAUACGUG
rnacentral:rRNA from 1 species